rnacentral:rRNA from 1 species
CAUUUAUGGUUCCUUAGAUCGUACACUCCUACUUGGAUAACCGUGGUAAUUCUAGAGCUAAUACAUGCCUGUAAGCUCCGACCCUUGCGGGGAAGAGCGCUUUUGUUAGAUCAAAACCAAUCGGGCGGUCUCGGAGAGGGAGCAAGAGAAACGGCUACCACAUUCAAGGAAGGCAGCAGGCGGGCAAAUUACCCACUCCUGGCAAGGGGAGGUAGUGAGGAAAGAUAACAAUACUGGAUUUGUUUGGGCCCCCGUAAUUGGAACGAGUACACUUUAAAUCCUUUUUCGAUGAUUUAUUGGAGGGCAAAUAUGGUGCCAGCAGCCGGGGUAAUUCCAGAUCCAAUAGCGUAUAUUAAAGUUGUUGCAGUUAAAAAGCUCGUAGUUGGAUCUCAGGCUCCGGCUGGGGGUUCACUUCGCGGCGACUUCUGCUUGUCCGGACCUACCCGCCGGUUUUCCCUUGAUGCCCUUCGCUGAGUGUCCCGGGUGGCCGGAAAGUUUACUUUGAAAAAAUUAGAGUGUUCAAAGCAGGCCGUGAUGCCUGAAUAAUGGUGCAUGGAAUAAUGGAAUAGGACCUCGGUUCUAUUUUGUUGGUUUUCGGAACUUGAGGUAAUGAUUAAGAGGGACAGACGGGGGCAUUCGUAUCGCGGUGCUAGAGGUGAAAUUCUUGGAUCGCCGCUAGACAAACUACUGCGAAUUCAUUUGCCAAAAAUGUUUUCAUUAAUCAAGAACGAAAGUCAAAGGUUCGAAGACGAUCAGAUACCGUCCUAGUUCUGACCAUAAACGGCAGCUUACGGGAAACGAAAGUCUUUGGGUUCCGGGGGGAGUAUGGUUGCAAAGCUGAAACUUAAAGGAAUUGACGGAAGGGCACCACCAGGAGUGGAGCCUGCGGCUUAAUUUGACUCAACACGGGAAAACUCUCCUGGCCAGGACACAAAUAGGAUUGACAAAUUGAGAGAUCUUUCUUGAUUUUGUGGGUGGUGGUGCAUGGCCGUUCUUAGUUGGUGGAGCGAUUUGUCUGGUUAAUUCCGAUAACGAACGAGACUCUAGCCUAUUUACUAGUUCGUGUGUAUUCUUGUGCACACGUCAACUUCUUAGAGGGACAAGUGGCUUUUAACCCCAAACGAUAAAACCAUAACAGGUCUGAGAUCCC